rnacentral:lncRNA from 1 species
AUUGCCGUCCUUUACUAUUUUGACCACAGUGUAGCAUCUCAACUUGCUCAACAGAAAGAGUUCAAUCUGAAAAAGCCACCUUCAUACCAUUAUGACCUUCUUCUUUUGGGUUUUCUGGUGCGCCAUUAUCAUGCUUAAUUUUUUUUUUUAAUGAUGAACCUAUUACAUAACAAAUGUUGUUCUUUUCUGCAGAAAGCUUUUAUUUUUAUUUUUUUGUCUUAACUCUAAAUAUGAUUUGACCAGGUUAUAUUAUGCGGUCUUAUUGGCAUUCCACCAUCUAAUGGUGUUAUUCCACAGUCCCCUAUGCAUACAAAAAGUUUAGCAACUCUUAAACAUCAGGUAUAGAUGAUUUGCGAGUUGACAAUAUACAAAUGUAUUAUGUGUCAAGCUCAAACAUAAUUUAACUGAAAUUUCUAUCAUUCUGUAUGUGGUUACAACAAUUGGCCACCCAACUCUUCUUUGUCUUUCCUUGUUCAUUGUAUUGUUUUGUUAACGUUUCACAAAGUAAUUUCUAAAAUUAGAUUUGUCUCCUGAGGGUAAGACACAGAAGCUCGAACAAUUUUCUUACAUAUUGGGAGCAAAAUUUCCAGUUUCCUAUGAUAUUUUGUUGUCCUCUAACCAUAUUUCUGAUUAUUAAUGCAGACAGUUCUGCUUUCAUAUGUGAAUCAUUGUGAUUGGUUCUUUUGUUUUAUUGGUAACAGCUUUUGCAUAAUAAGCUUGUAUCAACUGCCCGGAAAAGUAUUAGUAGAAAUUCAAGCCUGAGUCAACUAUAUCAAAGCAUGCAAGAGGCAUACAAUGAGAUGCAGACUCCACUUGUCUAUCAGCUUCCAUCCACUCUGGUAGAUUAAUUUGUAUUCAUAAUUUUGAUUUGCACCAUCUAUUAUGGUCCCCUGCCGCCCUUACCUUUUAGUUAAAAUAGGGACUGAAAGAACUGAAAGAAUCCACUGUCCAACUGGCUUCAAGUACUGGUAACAUUGAUGCACCUGUUGACGAGACCAUUUUUGACGUUGCUAAGGAAAUCGAUGAGCUUUUACCUGUAGAAGUCAAAGAACAACGUUUCAGUAACUUGCUUCAGGCAUUGAUGGUUGGUGGGUGUGUUGCUGCUAUGCCUCUACUUAAGAAGAUCCCCACUUCUGUUCUUUGGGGUUAUUUUGCUUUCAUGGCCAUCGAAAGCUUGCCAGGAAAUCAAUUUUGGGAGAGAAUAUUGCUGCUUUUCACUGCUCCAGGUCGGCGAUACAAGUAUGUUUCUGUUUCUUCCCCCCUUUUAACUUCCUUUUUCUUUUGAGUACUAGCUGUUGUAGUCGUUAUGUAGCCAAAGUUAGCACGUGCUCCUCUUCCUAGUACAGGGCUCUUGUAUGCAGACAGUUGUAUUCUAAUGCUCAUUUCUCAUCAUAGCUUGUCAUAAAAACUGUCUUGUAUGUAGACAGUCAUUUCUCACAUCAAGUAAUCCUCAUACAAGAUGAAUAAUCUGAAUAGUUCUGCUCUAAUACUAUGACUUGCUUUUAUUCUUUGAAGAUUAGAUAUCUGAAUUCCUGCAUGAUCUGUUGUGUCAGGGUGUUGGAGGAUUCUCAUGCAACCUUUGUUGAGAUUGUACCUUUCAAAACUAUCGCCACCUUUACCUUGUUCCAGACAGUUUACUUGCUAGUAUGCUUUGGCAUAACAUGGAUCCCAAUAGCUGGGGUCCUUUUCCCACUUUUGAUCAUGCUUCUUGUGCCAGUGCGCCAAUAUUUGCUCCCCAAGUUUUUCAAAGGUGCCCAUCUUCA